GGUUACUCAUCCGAGCAGCCAAGACAAUGUCAUUGUAUUUGUAACUACCCUUCCCAACCCAUCGCCGUGUAAGUAAGACUUCGUUGCCUUCGGUGUCUCUAUCCCCGUAAAACUUUUUGAUCAAGUAAGGCUUAUCUUCUAUGAUACCUUUAUACCAUUCAUGGUCUUCCUCUUCAGUGACAAAACAUGUUCGAUCGAAGUUGUUGGUGGCUUUCUGAAUUUGUUCAGAAGAAAAGGUGCGUAUAGGAAUUGAUUUACCGUUACAAUCAGCGAUGAGCUCUUUUAAGAAGAUGCUUCCGUUAUGUAAGAAUCUCCUUUCUUCUUCUUGACCGUCUUUUUCCUUCCUUUUCCGGGACGAUCCAGAUCUCAUACUCUGCUGCAACUUCUUCACCAAAGAUUCCAUUUCAGAGUGUAAUUUUCCUCCCAAGAAAGAUCGUUGAAAAUUCCAACCAGUGGCUAGCUACAAAUAUAUUGGCUGGUCUAAUUUCUUGACAGUCCUCAUUAGUCACUUAUAGGUCCACAGAACGAAUUGGUCAAUUUUACUAUGAGAACGAAAAUGCACUGAAGCAGACUUGGACCAAAGUUCAGUUUUUGUAUUCUUUUGACUUUUAAUAGUAUAUGUCUACAGUUUACUGUUCUGUUUUCUUGGUUUUUUUACCUUUAGAAUAAAUCUUUGGUUCUAAUCUUACUGUCAUGUUUCCUAAUUUUCUUUUAAUUUUUCUUUAUUUCACUACUUAUGGAAAGAAGGAAGAGCAGAGUGAAGACCUUAAUGAUUUGUGGCUGUUGUUUACAUUUUUACGAACAAAUGUUGCAAACUGAAUCCUUGUGUAAACAGUAAUGUGUGUUUUGUUUGUUUUUGACUAAACAGUAAUGACUAUUGUGAAAUAGAAGAAAGACAGUGUAAUCUCAUUUAACUGUGUUGGGCUUAAAAUAAAAAUCAGCCCAUCUCUUCAUUUUAGGCUUCUUUUUAUCUUUUACUAUUUUUAGGUGACAAGCAUAUGAUUUGAAUAGAACGGUAUAAUUUUUUUUUUUUUUGAAAAAAAUAGAACGGUAUAAUUAUGAUGAAAAAAUAUCCCAUGAUGAAAAAAAAGAUUAAAAACCCACCAUAAUAUUAGAAUUAGGGAUGGUAAUAUGGGUAAAAAUUUUGUCGGGUAUCCUAAACCCGUUUUAAAACUGGAUACCCAAAACUCGCCCAUUUUGUCUAAAAUUUCGAGGGUUAUAAAUAGACGGAUUUAUUUUGGGUUUACCCAUUUGGGUUUUGGGUACCCGAUGGAUUUUUUUUUUUUAAUUUCUUUAAAAAAAAAAAUUUAAAACUUUUUUUUAAAAAAAUUUACUUCUACUACAAAUUUAUUUUAAAUUUGUUUCUAAAAGAAUCAGAGAAAAAUGAAGAAUUGGAGAGACAGCAACGAAUAUCAGAGAGCAAAAUAAAAGAAAAAAAAAACUUCUUCUCUCUCUUCCUUCUACAAACGUCAUUUAUAUUUUCUUUCCACACUAAUACUCCAAUUCCUAAUAAAAACUUAAAACUAACUCUUUUCCUAAAAAACCCCAAUAUUUAAUUCCCAACAAAUCAUUUACUUGUUAUAGGAAUCAAUACAAUAAAAACACUUAGGAUCUCUCCAGGCCUGACACAUCAGCAUUUUAAGCUAUUCUCAGCAUGACACAUCAUUAAAAUCGUCAGCCAAUGAAAACAUUUCGAUUAAUACAGCUCAGAUUUAUUGGCCAGUAAUUAUUGUUCUUUGCUCCAUGUCAUUGUUAAAGUUUAUCUCACUUGGGCUUCUUGUUUGAAAAUAAUUGGGCUUAUUAUUAUUCAGAAGUGGGUUUUAGUAUUGAUUGACUCAUACAAAAUUGCCUUCUCUCCUGAAUAAAUUAAAUGAGCCAGAAAGAUCCUUAGCACGAGUGGCAUGAAUAAAUUAAAAUGUUAACGUGACAAACAAUUCAAAGCUAUAAAUUUAUAAGUAACAAAUUAUGGUUCACUUUGAUCAAAUAAAAAAAAAAGUCACCUUAUAAGAAACUUGGUUUUUUUUUUUAAUUCAUACUCAAACAAAUACAACACAAUUCAUUUUUAUACAUUCUCAAGGAAAACAACAUAGAAAUGCAUUAAUGAUCAAAUGGAAUGUUUAAGCUCGUCCCUUGUGAUAAAUCUGAUUUUUGAAAAAAGAACAGUAUGUGUUGAAGACAAUUCGAUCUUUAAUAUAGUAGUUGUGUUCAUUUAGGUGAAGAAGGAGACGGUUAUAAGAAUACAAAACCCGCUUCUGUCUUUGUUAGAGAAUUUAAAUGCUUCUAUCAAUUUCUCUUCUUUCUCCAAUUUAUGGCGAUGCAUUGUUGCAAUUAUAUACUCAAUGUAAUCAGUCGUCCCACUUUUGUCCACACAAGCCUAUAAAUGAACAAAAACCAUUGAGAAAGUUUAGCUUAUGAUGAUUUCUUUAGCUUGGUUUAAUAAUUAAUCAAUUGGAUUUGUUUCCUCAACUUACAGCUUCCAUGAGUUGUUUGAUUUCAGAUUAUGUAAGCUUAGAUCCAAGAUGAUGUAACCCGCUUCUUAGUUCAUCAAAAGUGGCAGCUCCAAACAUCGAGAAAAGAAUUUAUUAUCAAGAAAUGAUUAAGAAAAAAAUGAUUAAGUACUUAGGUUUCAUUCAGUUUUUUUUUUUGAAAAGUUUGGUUCGGCUCACAUAAAAAUAUUGUACCCAAAGUUAAAACCGAUUUUUUUUUUUAUUUAGCAAGAUUUCUCAAGGUCUGACACCCCAAUAUUUUGGGUUGUUCUCAGGUUGACAUCUCAUUAAAAUCGUCAUCCAUUAAAAAUAUUUUGAUUAAUAUAACUCAAAUUUCUCAUCUAAUAUUAAUUUUUUCAUGUUCCACGUCAAGAGUUCAAACGCCACUCCAAAAUGCGAAAACGAGUCAAAAAUGAUCAAGUACGUAGGUUACAUUCAGUUUUUUAUUUGGAAAAGUUUGGUUCGGUUCACAAAUAUUAUAGCUAAAGUUAAGCCGAAUUUUUUAUUUAGCUUGUAGUUUCAGUUUAUAUCAAUAAUUAUGGUAUAUUUCGCUUUAUAAACUACAGUUUAGACAAAUAAAUGUUUAAUAAAGUUUUCAACAAUAUGAUUUAAUUAUUAUAAAAUAUAUUAUUUUACUAGAAAAAUUUAUCCAAAAAUAUACCCCGCAGCAUAGCGCGGGUUUCGUCCUAGUAGAAUUAAAAACACUAUACAAUAACUCUCUGUCGAUGACAGGUGGUACUAAGUAAUGCAAUGGGAGAGUGAUGUGUGGAUAUAUUAAUUUCUAUGAUAGCUUCUACUUCUAUGUUUCUUUAUUUGAUUUUUCAUUCCAAAUAUGAAACAAAAUUAUAAUAAAUAUUAUUCGACAUCGGACGUGAAAAUAUUUACUCUCAAAUAUACUUUUAUCGGAAAAUAGUUUUGAGAUGUUUUACCUCAGAGAGAUGGAAACAAAUUAUUAUCUAGAAAUGUGAUGGCUAACAAAAGAAGCACAAGCUUUGCACAAAAAACAAAAAACAAAAGAAGCACAAGAAGUAAGUAACUAACAGUAAUAUUUUAUCCCUCAUGGUCCAAUUUCUUGACAUUGACUCAUCCUCAUUAGUCACUCAUAGGUCCACAGAACGAAUUGGUCAAUUUUACUAUGAGAACGAAAAUGCACUGAAGCAGACUUCGACC
rnacentral:lncRNA from 1 species